CUUGUAGACAGUGUGUGUUUAGAGAAUGCUGUGUGUGUUUGCUUACAAGUAAUGUAGUGUGUGCAUAGGAGAUACAGAGUUUGUAUGUCAGGAAUGUAGUGUGUGUAGGUGGUGCAGUGUGUGUGUGUGGGGGGGGGAUCUAGUGUAAAGGACCCAGAGUGUGUCUAGUAGAGUGUGUGUGUAUGUGUUUGUGUAGCGGAUUCAGAGUGUAUAUAGGGUUAGGGAUCUAGCGUGUAUCUGGAGCAAAAUGUAUGUAGGGGUGCUGUAGUGUGAGUGUUCUUAUCU